CACGAAUGGUUCAGACAACAGUCGACUAAAAUCGAAUCGCACCCAAAAGCGAUGUCGUUGCCAGCAAAUUAUUAUUAUCUUCAAGAAAAGUAACAGUUUCUCUCUCGUUCUCUCUCUGGAGAGUCUGUAGAGCCCCUAUCUUCAGCUUUCUCUAACACCCUACUUGGAAUCUUAAAGGAAACCCGCGCAAUUCAAGGCAGUCUUCAAACAUCUCAGACCAUAUGAAGAAGAUUUGUGAAGAGAGAGAGACGAGGAACUCAUUUGGACUACCAGAUGAUGUUAUGGUUAAUAUCUUUCUGCGACUGUCAAUCAAGAAUCUAGCUCGAUUGCGGUGUGUGUGUAAAUCAUGGAAUGACAUAAUAAUGAGCCAGUCAUUUGUUGGCUUCCAUCUUAAUGAAACCAACAGAAAACCUCGUCUCCUUAUCUUUAGGUAUGGUGUCAGCCCUUCAUAUUUAGGCUUCUACCACCCAAAAUGUCAGCAGUUUGAGAAUCUUCAUGAUCCCCCUUUUGCUACAAGACUUGUAGAUUUAGAUUUGCUAGGUUCAUGUAAUGGCAUUCUCUGUUUCUGCAGCACUGCUGACCAUUCCCUUAUCUAUAUGUGGAAUCCUUUGAAUAACAAGUACAUAACCCUUCCCAAACCCUCAUAUAACCCUCGUUAUCUAGGGUUUGGUAUCAAUUCAAUGAGUGGAUAUCUUGAUGACUUCAAAGUGGUAACUAUCUCUGCAAAUGCAAAGGCUGAAAUCUACAGUUUGAGGACAAAUUCAUGGAAAGUUGUUGGUGAUGGGUUUCCUCGAAGUAUUGAGAUAUAUGGUAGUUAUAUUAGCUGUCCUGUUUUUGUCAAGGGAUCUGUGCAUUGGUGUGCUCGGUACAGCUGUUAUCUUGACAGUAAGUGCACUUGGCUUAUAGUCUCAUUUGACUUCUCCAAGGAGGUUUUUCACACAAUUAUGUUGCCGGAUGCAAUAUCCAUUGAUGAUGAUGCCAAGUACUUGAAUGUUCUAGAUGGAUGUCUUUGUGUUUUUGCCAGUACUGUUUGUAAUUCUUUUCGCGCUUAUGAGUUAUGGGUAAUGAAGGAGUAUGGUGUAAUUGAGUCUUGGACUAGGCAAUGCAUAAUUGAAAAGGCUCAGAAAUUUUGGUUGCCUAUAGGAUUCACAACAAAGGGAGAAAUUCUUGUACGAGGAAAUUGUGAACAUUGUGGCAAUGCUUUACUGUCAUACGAUCCAAAUACAGAGAUAUUUGAGUGCCUUGAUGUUCACCUUCCUUAUUUUUCAAUUCAAGUGUUGACAUUUGUGGACAGCAUAAUCACACCUGUGCCUCAAUUUGUGAUUAAAGGCUAGAAGCUAAUUUUAUUUUUGGAGCUCCUUUGAGAGGGGGUUGAGCAGCCUCAAUUUGUGAUUAAAGGCCAGAAGCUAAUUUUAUUUUUGGAGCUCCUUUGAGAGGGGGGUUGAGCAACUGACAUCAACUGUGGCAUUGAAGGGGAAUGUCCUCCAUUAUAUGGUUUUACCCCAUGUUAUAAAUAAAACAUAUUUCAUUCUUGCUCUAUUCAAUUUCUUUAACAGUGUUUUGGAUGAUUGUUCGUAAAUUCAAUAUUUUUCUGUAUCAUUGUUUUAUAAAAUUCUGUUUCUCAAAGCAUAUUGCUUCUGUCUUUUGUUUAAGUGUGGAUAUUUUCCACAAGAGGUAGGAUGGAACUGUUCAUUUAUCUGAUGUGCUGACACUUUUUUUAAGGUAAGGUUUUUGUUUUAGCAUUACCUUUAGAUCAUAAUGUAGCGCAAUAUCAUUCAAUAUUUGACUUGGAUGUCAAUUUGUUCUGACUCAAAACUUCUGAUUCUCAUAUUUGUCGUGGCUCUUUGCAGCAAAACACUUCUCGCUUUUGAUUUUUAUGUCUUUCUGCAUUUAUGACUGAUUGCAUUAUGUUCUAUGCUUCUUACUUUUGGAAUUGAUUUUAACUUUUGGAGUAAGGUCAAUCAGAUAGCAAUAAUCAUGCUUUUGUUUAUAUGGUUGAUGGAACUUCAUAAAUUUUGCUAAUGUAGUUGGUGAGUGUUGAUUCAUCAUCUGUACUUAAGCUUUUAGAUCUCUGGCUAGUUAUUGGGUUUUCCAAGGAACAAGUCCUGAUAAUAAUGUCGACAAUCUUCUAUACAUAAAAUCUCCAAAGAUACCUGGAAUAUUGCAUAAUACAGUUUACAAGCAGCCACAUUAUUUCCGAUGCUCACUGGUAACAUUUGGUGCAAACAUAAUUUUUAUUUUGGCUUUCUACUGAGAUGAUUUUAAUUUGCUUUUGUGUCAGACUUCAACAUCUCCUCAUAAAAUUUCUAGUGUUGAUACUGGCUGUUGGGAGUCGACAUAUGCAGCAAGAAACACUUUGUUCGGUCUCUUCAGGAACAAUAUGCUUCGAGCAUUUGGGCACGCUACAAUAUAAUACCUCUUAACACUUUCCAGCAGUCAAACAAAAAAGGAUAAAUCCUUCUGUCAUCUCCAGCAAGAACUUUCUUAGAUUUCUCCUGGGCACACUGAUUGGGUAACAUUGCUUCAUCGGCUUAAAUGAAGGCUAACCAGAAUCACCUUCUACAUUAGAGUAGAUACUAAGUUUCAGAGAACUAGGCCACUGCCCCUGUGCAGCACUGAUUUUGUGACUUGGAGGUUGAAGGAGUAUCUUUAUUACAAGACUUUGAAUGAAUGCAAUCAUCUGAGUAAAGCAAGAGAUUUCCGGUA